AGGAGCUUGCUUCUUGAAGUUCAGUGGCGAACGGGUGAGUAAUACUAAGCAACCUGCCCCUAUGACUGGGAUAACCGUUGGAAACGACAGCUAAUACCGGAUAGGUAACCUUGAGGCAUCUUAAGGUUAUUAAAGUUGGGACACAACACGUAGGGAUGGGCUUAUGGCGCAUUAGUUAGUUGGCGGGGUAACGGCCCACCAAGACGAUGAUGCGUAGCCGACCUGAGAGGGUGACCGGCCACACUGGGACUGAGACACGGCCCAGACUCCUACGGGAGGCAGCAGUAGGGAAUUUUCGUCAAUGGGGGAAACCCUGAACGAGCAACGCCGCGUGAGUGAAGAAGGUCUUCGGAUCGUAAAGCUCUGUUGUCAGGGACGAACGCUGCGGAUAGGGAAUGAUCCGCAGGUGACGGUACCUGACCAGCAAGUCACGGCUAACUACGUGCCAGCAGCCGCGGUAAUACGUAGGUGGCGAGCGUUAUCCGGAAUUAUUGGGCGUAAAGGGUGCGCAGGCGGUUGUUCAAGUCCAAGGUGAAAGCCCGAAGCUCAACUUCGGCGAGCCUUGGAAACUGGAUGACUGGAGUGCAGGAGAGGUGAGUGGAAUUCCAUGUGUAGCGGUAAAAUGCGUAGAGAUAUGGAGGAACACCAGUGGCGAAGGCGGCUCACUG
rnacentral:rRNA from 1 species